GAUGAACGCUGGCGGCGUGCCUAAUACAUGCAAGUCGAGCGAACGGACGAGAAGCUUUCUUCUCUGAUGUUAGCGGCGGACGGGUGAGUAACACGUGGAUAACCUACCUAUAAGACUGGGAUAACUUCUUUAAACCGUAGCUAAUACCGGAUAAUAUUUUGAACCGCAUGGUUCAAAAGUGAAAGACUGUCUUGCUGUCACUUAUAGAUGGAUCCGCGCUGCAUUAGCUAUUUGGUAAGGUAACGGCUUACCAAGGCAACGAUGCAUAGCCGACCUGAGAGGAUGAUCAGCCACAAAGGAACAGAGACACGGCCCAAAAUCCUAAGGGAGGCAGCAGUAGGGAAUCUUCAGGAAUGAGCGGAAGCCUGACGGAGCAACGCCGCGUGCGGGAAGAAGGACUUCGGAUUGUAAAACUCUGUUAAAAGGGAAGAACAUCUGUGUAAAUAACUGUGAACAACGUUACGGUACAAGAACACGAAGUCACGGAUAACUACGUG
rnacentral:rRNA from 1 species